CUGAGCUGCUCCCGGGGCAGUGCUCAGGAGUGCUCAGGAGUGCUCAGGUGUUCCCAGAGGUGCUCAGGAGUGCUCAGGUGUUCCCAGAGGGGUGCUCAAGAGUUCCUAGAUGUUCCCAGAGGGGUGCUCAGAUGGUUCCCAGGGGUGUUCGGGUGUUUCCAGGUGUUCCCAGGGGUGCUUAGGAGUUCCCAGGGGUGCUCAGGUGUUCUCAGGAGUUUCCAGGGGUGCUUGGGUGUUUCCAGGGGUGCUCAGGUGUUUCCAGGUCUUCCCAGGGGGGUGCUUGGAUGUUCCCAGGGGGGUGCUCAGGUGUUCCCAGGGGUGCUCAGGUAUUCCCAGGUGUUCCCAGGGGUGCUCAGGUGUUCCCAGGGGUGCUCAGGAGUUCCCAGGUAUUCUCAGGUGUUCCCAGGGGUGCACAGGAGUUCCCAGGAGUUCUCCGGUGUUCCCAGGUGUUCCCAGGGGUGCUCAGGUGUUCCCAGGGGUGCUCAGGAGUUCCCAGGUGUUCCCAGGAGUUCCCGGGGUGCUCAGGUGUUCCCAGGUGUUCCCAGGUGUUCCCAGGUGUUCCCAGGGGUGCUCAGAUGUUCCCAGGUGUU